ACUUCUAUGUGAGCAAUCUCCAGAGGAAUGGAUGAGGAUAACACUGAGGGUGACCAGCAGCCUGCAAGAUUUAUUCUGAACUCCCAGAAGAAUGAACACAAAGCCAUGUUAACAGAGACCACUAUGAAUAUAUGUGCUGUAGACACUGACCUGACACAUGUCCUUCCACACCUCCUGGGGAUACCUUUUUUGUGAACUAUACUCAUAACAGUGCCAAUAAGGAAUAGUUAUUUCAUUCACACCCUGGUAGCCUCUAUGCCUGAUGCUCACGUUUGGAAGACAGCUCCUGAGGAAGAGAUCCUGCCAGCUGGAUUACCAGUGCUUAAUGUAGCUGUGCUUGUACCAAGUAGUUGAUAAGAACCCGUGUCAGUACCCUUCACCUAUCUGUUCACAGCCCUCUGAAAUGAAGGGACAAAAAAGGGUUCAACCCAAUGAGGGACAUCUGGGGUCCCAGAUCCUAAAAGAUUGGAGGACUGUGACUGCAGUAACAAUAAACUCUCAGCCAGCACUGAACUUGCA
rnacentral:lncRNA from 1 species